ACAGGCGUGAGCCACCGCGCCCGGCCCUUGCAAUUGUUAAUUAUACAUUAGGAUUUCAAUAACUCCUCCUUAAUUCUUUUGCUGUUCCAGGAAGUGUGUGUGUGUACGUGCAUGCAUGUGCACAUGCCAGUGUGUCUUUAGGUGCUCUUGUUUUUUCCGAUACGGGCCAACAUGCAAAGACCAUCUUCCCCAAGAGCAGACAAGGCCUAGAGGAGAUAGGUUCAAAUAACAAAGGGAAACUGAGCAUGGCCUCUACCCUCCACCAUGUAUAAUUAAGUGAGAAGAUGAGAGAAUGCAUUUUCAGGCCUCCACUAAAGUUUGCGACCUCGGGGCUUCCUGGCUUGGAGCUCGGAUUGGUGGGCGAAGGCUGAGGAACAGGUGGAAUAGUGGGUCAGGCGCUUAAAAACUGCCGCCGUGUCCCCGACCUGGCAGUGGACACGAUGGCGCCCUUGAAUCGGGAACUGACUAGUGAGAUAGUGGAUAAUUUUAAUU